rnacentral:lncRNA from 1 species
AUAUAUAUAUAUAUAUAUACUAAAAUAUAAAUCUCAAUAAAAAAUUAAAAUAAAAAUCUCAAUUAAAUCAUAAUCAAAACCUAAUCAAAUCUUGAUAAAAUCCUAAUCAAACCUUAAAUAAGCUCUAAUCAAAUCCUAGACAAAGUCUAAAAAAAUCUUAAUCAAACCUUCAUCAAAUUCAAAUCAAAUCCUAAAAAAAUCUUAAUCAAACCUUCAUCAAAUUCCUAUCAAAUCUUAAACAAAUCCAAACCAUAUCCUAAUCAAAUCCUAAAUAAAUCCUAGAAAAAUCCUAAAUAAAUUCUAGUCAAAUCCUAAACAUAUCCUAAAUAAGUCCUAUUAAAAUCUAAGUAAAAUUCUAAUGAAAUCCUAAUCAAAUCCUAAUCAAAUUUUAAUGAAAUCUUAGUCAAAUUCUAAUCAAAUACUAAUCAAAUCCUUAAUAAAUUCUAAUAAAAUCCUAGUCAAAUCUUAGAUAAAUCUUAAAUAAGCUUUUACCAAAUCUUGAAAAAAUCUUAAUCAAACUCUAAUCAAAUCCUAAUAAAAUCUUAAACAAAUCCUAACCAAAUCUUAAAUAAAUCAUAAUAAAAUCUUAGACAAAGCUUAAAUAUAUCCUAAUCAAAUCUUA